rnacentral:lncRNA from 1 species
UAAAUGACCAACAAGUACAUCCACAUUCUAAUGAGAAUCAUUAGAUAUGUCCAAGCAGAAAUUCCCAAAAUGCAACAGAAAUGAUCCAGCAUCCAUCAAGCUUCUAUAGCCAACAAGAGGAGAUCUGAAAUUGCAAGGACAAUGUUUAAUGGAAUUUUCAGGAGUGGAUUAAGUUGCAGAGAGUGUUAAGAUUUUUUUUUUUCCUACUUUCUUUUUAGGAGAUAAAAGUAUGUUUUUCCCUCCCAAUAGGCCAAGAGGGAAUACUCCAAGAAAACUCUUCUGGAGACAAAAAGUCCAUAAAGGAAAGUAAGAUAUGUAAUCACCUGCUAGUUUUAUUGUAGGUCCAUUUGGACACAGCCAUUUAGGUAGAGCAAGGCAAAAUAAUUCUUGUGAGGACCUGUCAUCUGUCCCCAGGAUGAGGGAACAUAGGUUAAUACUGACUCUGAUGUGUUCCUUCCCACGUCGAGAAUUUUAAAGUCUGCAAAUCUGUAGCCCAAAAUUGAUUCCAGGAAGAGGAGUGAGCAGUUGG